CUACGGAGGGUGCAAGCGUUAUCCGGAAUCAUUGGGUUUAAAGGGUCCGUAGGCGGGCUAUUAAGUCAGAGGUGAAAUCCCACAGCUCAACUGUGGAACUGCCUUUGAUACUGAUAGUCUUGAGUUACAGUGAAGUAGAUAGAAUAUGUAGUGUAGCGGUGAAAUGCAUAGAUAUUACAUAGAAUACCGAUUGCGAAGGCAGUCUACUAACUGUAUACUGACGCUGAUGGACGAAAGCGUGGGGAGCGAACAGGAUUAGAUACCCUAGUAGUCC
rnacentral:rRNA from 1 species